rnacentral:rRNA from 1 species
GACGAACGCUGGCGGCGUGCCUAAUACAUGCAAGUAGAACGCUGAAGGAGGAGCUUGCUUCUCUGGAUGAGUUGCGAACGGGUGAGUAACGCGUAGGUAACCUGCCUGGUAGCGGGGGAUAACUAUUGGAAACGAUAGCUAAUACCGCAUAAGAGUAGAUGUUGCAUUACAUUUGCUUAAAAGGUGCAAUUGCAUCACUACCAGAUGGACCUGCGUUGUAUUAGCUAGUUGGUGGGGUAACGGCUCACCAAGGCGACGAUACAUAGCCGACCUGAGAGGGUGAUCGGCCACACUGGGACUGAGACACGGCCCAGACUCCUACGGGAGGCAGCAGUAGGGAAUCUUCGGCAAUGGACGGAAGUCUGACCGAGCAACGCCGCGUGAGUGAAGAAGGUUUUCGGAUCGUAAAGCUCUGUUGUAAGAGAAGAACGAGUGUGAGAGUGGAAAGUUCACACUGUGACGGUAUCUUACCAGAAAGGGACGGCUAACUACGUG